UUAAGCGACUAAGCGUACACGGUGGAUGCCCUGGCAGUCAGAGGCGAUGAAGGACGUGCUAAUCUGCGAUAAGCGUCGGUAAGGUGAUAUGAACCGUUAUAACCGGCGAUUUCCGAAUGGGGAAACCCAGUGUGAUUCGUCACACUAUCAUUAACUGAAUCCAUAGGUUAAUGAGGCGAACCGGGGGAACUGAAACAUCUAAGUACCCCGAGGAAAAGAAAUCAACCGAGAUUCCCCCAGUAGCGGCGAGCGAACGGGGAGCAGCCCAGAGCCUGAAUCAGUGUGUGUGUUAGUGGAAGCGUCUGGAAAGGCGCGCGAUACAGGGUGACAGCCCCGUACACAAAAAUGCACAUGCUGUGAGCUCGAUGAGUAGGGCGGGACACGUGGUAUCCUGUCUGAAUAUGGGGGGACCAUCCUCCAAGGCUAAAUACUCCUGACUGACCGAUAGUGAACCAGUACCGUGAGGGAAAGGCGAAAAGAACCCCGGCGAGGGGAGUGAAAAAGAACCUGAAACCGUGUACGUACAAGCAGUGGGAGCACGCUUAGGCGUGUGACUGCGUACCUUUUGUAUAAUGGGUCAGCGACUUAUAUUCUGUAGCAAGGUUAACCGAAUAGGGGAGCCGAAGGGAAACCGAGUCUUAACUGGGCGUUAAGUUGCAGGGUAUAGACCCGAAACCCGGUGAUCUAGCCAUGGGCAGGUUGAAGGUUGGGUAACACUAACUGGAGGACCGAACCGACUAAUGUUGAAAAAUUAGCGGAUGACUUGUGGCUGGGGGUGAAAGGCCAAUCAAACCGGGAGAUAGCUGGUUCUCCCCGAAAGCUAUUUAGGUAGCGCCUCGUGAAUUCAUCUCCGGGGGUAGAGCACUGUUUCGGCAAGGGGGUCAUCCCGACUUACCAACCCGAUGCAAACUGCGAAUACCGGAGAAUGUUAUCACGGGAGACACACGGCGGGUGCUAACGUCCGUCGUGAAGAGGGAAACAACCCAGACCGCCAGCUAAGGUCCCAAAGUCAUGGUUAAGUGGGAAACGAUGUGGGAAGGCCCAGACAGCCAGGAUGUUGGCUUAGAAGCAGCCAUCAUUUAAAGAAAGCGUAAUAGCUCACUGGUCGAGUCGGCCUGCGCGGAAGAUGUAACGGGGCUAAACCAUGCACCGAAGCUGCGGCAGCGACGCUGAUGCGUUGUUGGGUAGGGGAGCGUUCUGUAAGCCUGUGAAGGUGUACUGUGAGGUAUGCUGGAGGUAUCAGAAGUGCGAAUGCUGACAUAAGUAACGAUAAAGCGGGUGAAAAGCCCGCUCGCCGGAAGACCAAGGGUUCCUGUCCAACGUUAAUCGGGGCAGGGUGAGUCGACCCCUAAGGCGAGGCCGAAAGGCGUAGUCGAUGGGAAACAGGUUAAUAUUCCUGUACUUGGUGUUACUGCGAAGGGGGGACGGAGAAGGCUAUGUUGGCCGGGCGACGGUUGUCCCGGUUUAAGCGUGUAGGCUGGUUUUCCAGGCAAAUCCGGAAAAUCAAGGCUGAGGCGUGAUGACGAGGCACUACGGUGCUGAAGCAACAAAUGCCCUGCUUCCAGGAAAAGCCUCUAAGCAUCAGGUAACAUCAAAUCGUACCCCAAACCGACACAGGUGGUCAGGUAGAGAAUACCAAGGCGCUUGAGAGAACUCGGGUGAAGGAACUAGGCAAAAUGGUGCCGUAACUUCGGGAGAAGGCACGCUGAUAUGUAGGUGAAGUCCCUCGCGGAUGGAGCUGAAAUCAGUCGAAGAUACCAGCUGGCUGCAACUGUUUAUUAAAAACACAGCACUGUGCAAACACGAAAGUGGACGUAUACGGUGUGACGCCUGCCCGGUGCCGGAAGGUUAAUUGAUGGGGUUAGCGCAAGCGAAGCUCUUGAUCGAAGCCCCGGUAAACGGCGGCCGUAACUAUAACGGUCCUAAGGUAGCGAAAUUCCUUGUCGGGUAAGUUCCGACCUGCACGAAUGGCGUAAUGAUGGCCAGGCUGUCUCCACCCGAGACUCAGUGAAAUUGAACUCGCUGUGAAGAUGCAGUGUACCCGCGGCAAGACGGAAAGACCCCGUGAACCUUUACUAUAGCUUGACACUGAACAUUGAGCCUUGAUGUGUAGGAUAGGUGGGAGGCUUUGAAGUGUGGACGCCAGUCUGCAUGGAGCCGACCUUGAAAUACCACCCGUUUAAUCGUUUGAUGUUCUAACGUGGACCCGUAAUCCGGGUUGCGGACAGUGUCUGGUGGGUAGUUU
rnacentral:rRNA from 1 species